UACAGAGGGUGCAAGCGUUGUUCGGAAUUAUUGGGCGUAAAGCGCGUGUAGGCGGCUAAGUAAGUCGGGCGUGAAAUCCCACGGCUCAACCGUGGAAGUGCACUCGAAACUGCAUAGCUAGAGUCCUGGAGAGGAAGGUGGAAUGCUUGGUGUAGAGGUGAAAUUCGUAGAUAUCAAGCGGAACACCGGUGGCGAAGGCGGCCUUCUGGACAGUGACUGACGCUGAGACGCGAAAGCGUGGGGAGCAAACAGG
rnacentral:rRNA from 1 species